UACGGAAGGGGCAAGCGUUGUUCGGAAUUACUGGGCGUAAAGGGCUCGUAGGCGGCCAACUAAGUCAGACGUGAAAUCCCUCGGCUUAACCGGGGAACUGCGUCUGAUACUGGAUGGCUAGAGGUUGGGAGAGGGAUGCGGAAUUCCAGGUGUAGCGGUGAAAUGCGUAGAUAUCUGGAGGAACACCGGUGGCGAAGGCGGCAUCCUGGACCAAUUCUGACGCUGAGGAGCGAAAGCCAGGGGAGCAAACGGG
rnacentral:rRNA from 1 species